rnacentral:rRNA from 1 species
GAUGAACGCUGGCGGCGUGCCUAAUACAUGCAAGUCGAGCGAACGGACGAGAAGCUUGCUUUUCUGAUGUUAGCGGCGGACGGGUGAGUAACACGUGGAUAACCUACCUAUAAGACUGGGAUAACUUCGGGAAACCGGAGCUAAUACCGGAUAAUAUUUUGAACCGCAUGGUUCAAAAGUGAAAGACGGUCUUGCUGUCACUUAUAGAUGGAUCCGCGCUGCAUUAGCUAGUUGGUAAGGUAACGGCUUACCAAGGCAACGAUGCAUAGCCGACCUGAGAGGGUGAUCGGCCGCACUGGAACUGAGACACGGUCCAGACUCCUACGGGAGGCAGCAGUAGGGAAUCUUCCGCAAUGGGCGAAAGCCUGACGGAGCAACGCCGCGUGAGUGAUGAAGGUCUUCGGAUCGUAAAACUCUGUUAUUAGGGAAGAACAUAUGUGUAAGUAACUGUGCACAUCUUGACGGUACCUAAUCGGAAAGCCACGGCUAACUACGUG